ACUGGGCACAGUGGUGUGCGCCUGUAGUCCCAGCUACUUGGGAGGCUGAGGCAGGAGGAUCACUCGAGCCCAGGAGUUUUGGGCUGUAGUGCGCUAUGCUGAUCAGGUAUCCGCACAAAGUUCGGCAUCAAUAUGGUGACCUCCCGGGAGCGGGAGACCAUAGGUUGCCUAAGGAGGGGUGAACCAGCCCAGGUCGGAAACGGGGUAGGUCAAAAUUUCCGUGCUGAUCAGUAGUGGGACCGCGCCUGUGAAAAGCCACUGCACUCCAGCCUGGGCAACAUAGCGAGACCCCGACUCUU
rnacentral:SRP_RNA from 1 species